rnacentral:rRNA from 1 species
GAGAGAUUCAUCGUCAUUCCGCGGCGUACGGGCUGCGCGCUUCGAUGUCGUCGGCCUAGGUCGUCAGGCACGACGCGCGUCCGUCGACGUCCGCGGACGGCGUGCACUUCUCUCUUAGUAAAUACAUCGCGACCCGUUCGAUGUCGGUCUAAGCGCCGUUCGGGAGCCCCAUGGUCCCUUAACGGGGUCUAUGGGACCGCGACGGUGGCCGACCGGCCGUCGGACGGUAGUUCUGACGAAACGCGCACUCGUUUAUAACGAGUCCGGCCCGACGCAAGUCAACGUCGUAUCCAACGUACCGCCUUAGCGCGGACGUAGGUGCGGCGCGUCUGUUGUUGCUGCCGUGCAGUCUCGGAC